UCAAGCUUCAAUUCGUUUUCUUCGAUUUCGGCUGCUUCGUCUUCGAUUUCAGCCGCCUAGGCCGAUUUUUCGAACAAUGCGAUUGCCUGAAAGUCUGAAACCCGAAAUUGAAAAAAUUUAGCUGCAAAUUUGAGCUUGAGAUUGAGAUUGAGAAGCCGAAGCAGUGAAGCACAAGUCAGUUCCAUUCUCUUGGCUCUCACCCAAACGACAUGUUCACCUCACCACACCAACGACGACAAUUCCUACCUCUGCCAACUCCGCCUUAUUCUCUUCUCUCUUCGCAUUGACGACAUGGCACAGAAGAAAAAAAAUACAAAAUUUGCUGAGUUGGUGUCUGUCUUCAGUGGAAGGAAAUGAUGAAGCUAUCCUAUCAUGGAGUUUCUAUGGUCUUGCCAAUAACAAGGUUGAAAGUGAAGUUUUCUUCAGGAUCAAAAGAAGUACAAAGCUACAGAAACUGAUUGAUGCUUUGUGUACCACGUUCCCUAGAUACUGAAUCAUUAAUAAUUUUGUUUGAGAACGACCACAUUCACAAGCACAAGACUGCUGAGUAGAUUUGCACAAACUGCGUUGGAGAUUCCCACAAACUGCACACAAACUGCAUUGCAGUUUUCGUUUCCAUUUAAUUACAUUUGGCUAUGUUAAUUGGAUAUUGGUAUGAUUUUUUAAGUUAAUUUGAUAGUUUAUUAAUUUAUUUACUUAUGUUUUAGUUAGAUUGUAGAUUGGUCAUUGUUUUGUCGUCGUUCUUUAGCGUCUUUGUGUUUAUGUUAUGUUUUGUUAUGGAAUAAUAAUUGUAUCGUAGUUUCUGUUUUUGAAUUCAUACAAUUCUCUCAGAAAUUGAUAAAUCUCUGUAAAUUUGUUGGUUCUGCAUUGUACUUUCUGUUUUCUUUU